rnacentral:tRNA from 1 species
CGGGCUGUGGCGCAGCUUGGUAGCGCAUCUGCUUUGGGAGCAGAGGGUCGCUGGUUCGAAUCCAGUCAGCCCGACC